UUGUCACCUUGGGAAGUGUGAAGAUUGGGUGUGAGGGGGGAGCGAUUCCGGCCUGGGUGUGUGUGUGUGUGGGGGGCGGGGGGAGCCUCGUCCUUCCCAGCCCACAGGCAGCCUGGCCUAAAAGGGCAGACAGAUAAUGAGUCCCUCCCGGCCCCUGGCCCCAGAGAGGGAGGGGUUUCCUGGCAGGAAAUUGUCCUCCUCCAAGCCCCCCCCUACUCAGAUCCAAGCUCUCAGCAGUCCCAGCCGAAGUAGCCUGGGGACAGGACCGCGGCAGGGACUGAGGCACUUGUGUCAGAGGUCCCCGCCGAUCACGAUGCCCAUCCUGAAGAGCCUCGGGGUGGCAGACUCGAAGGUGCCCCGGGCGGGGACGCUGCCCCUCAGGUCCUCGCGGAACCCCUUUGAGGAGGCUCCAGGGCUGGAAGAGGAAGAGGCGGGCGAGCUGGGGACCCUGCCCAACGGAGCCUCCUGUCGCCGCCGCGCCACCCUGGAGAAGCUGGCAGGCCUGGCCCCCUUCCGGCUCGGCUGGGCCCCGGGCCGGCGGGCGGGCAGCCC
rnacentral:lncRNA from 1 species